GUGGGGAAUAUUGGACAAUGGGCGAAAGCCUGAUCCAGCCAUGCCGCGUGUGUGAAGAAGGUCUUCGGAUUGUAAAGCACUUUAAGUUGGGAGGAAGGGCAGUAAGUUAAUACCUUGCUGUUUUGACGUUACCGACAGAAUAAGCACCGGCUAACUUCGUGCCAGCAGCCGCGGUAAUACGAAGGGUGCAAGCGUUAAUCGGAAUUACUGGGCGUAAAGCGCGCGUAGGUGGUUCGUUAAGUUGGAUGUGAAAGCCCCGGGCUCAACCUGGGAAAUGCAUCCAAAACUGGCGAGCUAGAGUACGGUAGAGGGUGGUGGAAUUUCCUGUGUAGCGGUGAAAUGCGUAGAUAUAGGAAGGAACACCAGUGGCGAAGGCGACCACCUGGACUGAUACUGACACUGAGGUGCGAAAGCGUGGGGAGCAAACAGGAUUAGAAACCCCAGUAGUCC
rnacentral:rRNA from 1 species